rnacentral:ncRNA from 3 species
AUUCCUAUAUGUGACUGGCGCAACAUGGAUGACCAUGGGGGAGCAUAUAGCGUAUAAGCCGCGCGCCUGGGCAAACACU